UACGGGGGGAGCAAGCGUUGUUCGGAUUUACUGGGCGUAAAGGGCGCGUAGGCGGUCGUGACAAGUCACUUGUGAAAUCUCCGGGCUUAACUCGGAACGGUCAAGUGAUACUGUCGGACUAGAGUACAGAAGGGGCAACUGGAAUUCUCGGUGUAGCGGUGAAAUGCGUAGAUAUCGGGAGGAACACCAGCGGCGAAGGCGACCAUCUGGACGGAUACUGACGCUGAGACGCGAAAGCGUGGGGAGCAAACAGG
rnacentral:rRNA from 1 species